CUGCUCCUCAGACAAGAUGGGGCCAGAGGCGGCCCCAGCAGCCACGCAUGCUGCCCCACAGGCCACAAGAGAGAAGAUCCGGUCCAGGUUCCACGGCAGCCACGACCUCAUCCACCGCCUGUUCGUCUGCAUUUCAGGUGUGGCUGACCAGCUGCAGACGAACUAUGCCAGUGACCUGAGAAGUAUUCUUAAAACACUGUUUGAGGUCAUGGCCACCAAGCCUGAAACAGACGACAAGGAAAAGUUAAGGAAGGG
rnacentral:lncRNA from 1 species